UGUCUAUUAUGGAAUGUUCUAGAUUUACUUGUUCCCUACUCCAAGUUACUUGUUCCCUACUCCAAGUUAUUAGACUUUGUCUCCAAGUUAUGUAAUCCUAUAUAAGGAACUCAUUACUCAUGGAAUAAUAACAAUUCAUUCAUCUCUAAGUCAUACGACUCUCUCUCUCUCUCUCUUUAGUUCGAUCUAUUCUAAGACAAGAACACUAGGAUUAGAACACGUUAUCAGCACGAGACUCUAAACCCUAACUAAAAUUCGGCGAUCACAAAAAUCCUAAUUUCGGCCGUAACUUCAAACAGCCAUAUCUCCCUAACCGUAAGGAUCCAGACGGCGAGUAAUAUAUCAAACUGAAGCUAUUGACGAGAGGAAUCCAGCGCCGCAGACCACGCAGCAAUCCGACUUCAGACGCGCCGUCACCUCCCAGUGCAAGCCGCGCCGUCAAAGAUCAUCCAAAACCCUAAUAGCCGCCAACUCCUUAUCUCUUUUAAUUUCGAUAUCUAUUGUUCUUAGAUCUCAUACUAAUCCAACUUUGAAACUUUCAUUGUUGAUUAUUAAAGGUUUCUAAAAGAGGAACCAAGGAGAAAAGAUCGGCAAAGAUUAAGGUUACCAGUCCAAUCCACACAGUGCUAAGUCCUAAACCGGCUAUGUUUUCACAUAUGGAGGCACGACCAUUUCAUGGAGAUCAGUCAAGCAGACUAUAUCAGCCACAUCAUCCAAUCACUCGGAUAUAUUGGCGAUCCAUGAAGCAAGCAGAGAGUGUGUCUGGUUGAGACUCAUGACACACCAUAUUCGGACAGCAUGUGGGAUCACGGAUGGUAAAGACGAGCCGACCGUUCUUUACGAAGACAAUGCAGCCUGCAUAGCUCAGCUCAAAGAUGGUUACAUCAAGGGUGACAAGACUAAGCAUGUUCUCCCCAAGUUCUUCUUCACCCACAAUCUUCAGAAAGAAGGAGAGGUCAAGGUACUCCAAGUCAGAUCAAGCGAGAACUCAGCCGACCUCUUCACUAAGGCAUUACCAACAUGCACGCUCAGGAAGCUUAUGCAGUAGAUUGGUAUGCGAGCACUGAGAAGCCUUCAGUGAUGUUCACUUCAGGGGAAGUAAUGCGGCUGUACUCUUUUUCCUAUCCAUGGCUUCCCGUUUUUACCACAUUGGGUUUUUGGGUUUACCAUGGAAAGGUUUUAACGAGGCAGUAUUCCAAACGCAUUACAAACUCUAGACGGUUAUGGCAUUACAAUCUCGGUUUUUAACGAGAUAGCAUCUUACACGCAUAAUGGACAUCAAGGGGAAGUGUUAUGAAUAUUGUGUGAUGUCUAUUAUGGAAUGUUCUAGAUUUACUUGUUCCCUACUCCAAGUUACUUGUUCCCUACUCCAAGUUAUUAGACUUUGUCUCCAAGUUAUGUAAUCCUAUAUAAGGAACUCAUUACUCAUGGAAUAAUAACAAUUCAUUCAUCUCUAA